rnacentral:lncRNA from 1 species
UCCUUUUCGUUAUCAGCGGCGGUGAUGAGGACGACGGGUUUUCAGAAGCGGGUUUGGUGGGUGAAAAAUCUGUUGGAGUGGAGAUGGAGGCGGAGGUGGGUUGCGAAAGGCCGCGGAGGCAGUGGAGAAGGUUUGGAGAUAAUAAAAAAAAAUGAUCGCGGCGCAGCCUUGGUGAGAUCGGAGGCGAAGAGGGUAGAGGGUGAGCGAGCGUGGGAGAGGGCUCAUGAGGCGAAG